rnacentral:rRNA from 1 species
GCACAAGCGGUGGAGCAUGUGGUUUAAUUCGACGCAACGCGCAGAACCUUACCAGCCCUUGACAUCCCGGUCGCGGACUCCAGAGACGGAGUUCUUCAGUUCGGCUGGACCGGAGACAGGUGCUGCAUGGCUGUCGUCAGCUCGUGUCGUGAGAUGUUGGGUUAAGUCCCGCAACGAGCGCAACCCCCGUCCUUAGUUGCUACCAUUUAGUUGAGCACUCUAAGGAGACUGCCGGUGAUAAGCCGCGAGGAAGGUGGGGAUGACGUCAAGUCCUCAUGGCCCUUACGGGCUGGGCUACACACGUGCUACAAUGGCGGUGACAAUGGGACGCUAAGGGGCAACCCUUCGCAAAUCUCAAAAAGCCGUCUCAGUUCGGAUUGGGCCCUGCAACUCGAGCCCAUGAAGUUGGAAUCGCUAGUAAUCGUGGAUCAGCAUGCCACGGUGAAUACGUUCCCGGGC